CCACGGCUGCAUUCGCUAGUACCUCCAUGAUGGAGGCUAUUUGAGUGUGAAAAACCAUACAGUUAGCCAUUGUUAACUGCUACUAGCUAGGUUGCGUUACCUAGAUAACAUCUAUCAACCAAGUCCUGUCUCCAACGCAAAGUAAAGACUACCUGGGGCAAGUUUUAUGGCGAACUACACGCAAAUGGUGUGUUGCCGCCACCAACUGGACGGAGGUGCCCUUCUUUGUGAGGCAUUGGAAAACCUCCCAGGUCCUCUCCUGUGUCUGCACCUCAUCGUUCCCCUGGGAAACCUGUAAGGGAGAGGGAAAUGGAGAGACAGGAGAGGCUAAUCUGAAGGACAGUUCCAAGGGGCAAGAAUUUAAAUGAACAACAUGCAAGAGGCUACAUAGAAUUGGUGUGUGUCCUUUCAUCACUGAGUCGGUUCCCUCUUCCAGCAGUCAGGUUGGAGUCUCUUCUGCUUCUCUUCUGUUCUUUGGCUUCAAUGGUGUACAUCCUCCUCUCAUCUUCUUCCCCAAGAUCGCAAGGAAGCAAUGGUGUGUCAUGUUAAUCACUCUAUUAUUGAUCUACUGGUGUCAUGUGACAAAAUGUUUAAAUUGUGUUGAAAUUGAAUUAUAAUCCCUCAAAGUUUACUGUAAUUAAGCAAUAAGGCACGAGGGGGUGUGGUAUAUGGCCAAUAUACCACGGCUAAGGGCUAUUCUUAUGUACGACGCAAUGUGGAGUGCCUGAAUACAGCGUGGUAUAUUGGCCAUAUACCACAAACCCCAGAGGUGUCUUAUUGCUAUUAUAAACUGGUUACCAACAUAAU